rnacentral:ncRNA from 1 species
GGCGGGAGUCCGGGUAAUACAAGACCCUCCGGGGGAAUAUCCGGGCCUGUCUCUGUCAGGUGCUAGCUCCCGCCACCAGGGG